rnacentral:piRNA from 1 species
AAUGAAUGAAUGAAUGGGUGUGUCUAAUGAA